GUUUGGAAUCUGAGUGUGAUGAGAGGACUCCGGAGGCCAGGUUGCCCAGAGGGGUGGGACCCCCACCGGAGACCUUCCCCUCCCUAGGAGAAGGAGACGGAGAAGAGGAAGAUGAGGAUGAAGAGGAGAUGCUCAGUGAUGCCAGCCCGUGGACCUACAGCUCCUCCCCAGAUGAGCAAGUUGGGGCCCAGGGAGGAUGCUGAGCAGAGUGGGAGGAGGGAGGGAGUGGCUGGUUGGGGAACGUAGAACUUUGCAGAUUUGAGGGAAGGCCUUGUUGGGGGAGACAGGGUAGGCUUUAGGGAAGGCAAAAAGAACUAGAGGCUUUGAAUUGGGUGGAAAGAGGUGAAGUUAGGCUCUGGGAGAGAAUCAAGGCUGAAAGCAGGUAUGAAUAGGGAUCCUGGGGUAGGGGUAGGGUUGGUCUGAGUUGGGAUCUUUGCAAUUUAGGGGUUGGGAGUGGGCUGGGGCUGGCUGAGGAUCCAGGGAGAUAAUACCCCCCUCCUCUUCAUUCUCCUUUCAGCAGUGAGCCUGAUGCCCCCAGACCACCCCCUUCCCCUGUCACCCAUGCACUUAAGGAGGGGGAGACACUCCCGGCCCCUGCAACCGUCCCAGCUCCUCUUGCUGCUGCGCCAUCCUCAUCAGCACCCUCUUUGGGUCCUGGAGCUCCUCUGCCUGUGGAAGCCAGCACGCAGCCGGAGCUCAGUGGGACGCCUCAAGCAGCCCAGCAGACUGAGCCCCUGGCCAGGUAACCUGAUGGCUGAGACAGAGGGCAGGGGCAUCCUGGGACAUGGCCCUCCCUCGAGGCCCUCCGCUCCCUCUUUGCUGCCCGUAGCCCUGGGAGUCAGGCUCAGUCUGCUCUGGCCUCGGCAUGGGAUGAGGACACUGCUCAGAUUGGCCCCAAGAGAAUUAGGAAAGCUGCCAAAAGAGAGCUGCUGCCCUGUGACUUCCCUGGCUGUGGAAGGAUCUUCUCCAACCGGCAGUAUUUGA
rnacentral:lncRNA from 1 species